UACGUAGGGGGCAAGCGUUGUCCGGAUUUAUUGGGCGUAAAGAGCGUGUAGGCGGCUAUGCAGGUCCGCUGUGAAAACUCGAGGCUCAACCUCGAGACGUCGGUGGAAACCGCAUGGCUAGAGUCCGGAAGAAGAGAGUGGAAUUCCCGGUGUAGCGGUGAAAUGCGCAGAUAUCGGGAAGAACACCCGUGGCGAAGGCGGUUCUCUGGGACGGUACUGACGCUGAGACGCGAAAGCGUGGGGAGCGAACAGG
rnacentral:rRNA from 1 species